ACGCUAGCUACAGGCUUAACACAUGCAAGUCGAGGGGCAUCACGGUCCAGCAAUGGACCGGUGGCGACCGGCGCACGGGUGAGUAACACGUAUCCAACCUACCUUCUACCCGGGUAUAGGCUUUUGAAAGAAAGAUUAAUCCCCGAUGGUAUCACGAGAACUCCUGUUCUUUUGAUUAAAGAUUCAUCGGUAUUAGCUGGGAUGCGUUCCAUUAGAUCGUUGGCGGGGUAACGGCCCACCAAGUCUACGAUGGAUAGGGGUUCUGAGAGGAAGGUCCCCCACAUUGGAACUGAGACACGGUCCAAACUCCUACGGGAGGCAGCAGUGAGGAAUAUUGGUCAAUGGGCGGGAGCCUGAACCAGCCACGUAGCGUGAAGGAUGACUGCCCUAUGGGUUGUAAACUUCUUUUAUAUGGGAAUAACAGGCUGUACGCGUACAGUUCUGCAUGUACCAUACGAAUAAGGAUCGGCUAACUCCGUGCCAGCAGCCGCGGUAAUACGGAGGAUCCGAGCGUUAUCCGGAUUUAUUGGGUUUAAAGGGUGCGUAGGCGGGAUGGCCAGUCAGUUGUGAAAAGUUGCGGCUCAACCGUAAUUGUGCAGUUGAAACUGUCAUUCUUGAGUAUAGUAAAGGUGGGUGGAAUUUGUGGUGUAGCGGUGAAAUGCUUAGAUAUCCCAAAGAACUCCGAUUGCGAAGGCAACUCACUGGGCUAUAACUGACGCUGAUGCACGAAGGUGUGGGUAUCAAAC
rnacentral:rRNA from 1 species